rnacentral:rRNA from 1 species
UACGGAGGGUGCAAGCAUUGAUCGGAAUUACUGGGCGUAAAGGGCGCGUAGGCGGCUUUGUAAGUCGGACGUGAAAUUCCGGGGCUCAACCCCGGAGCUGCGUUUGAAACUGCAAGACUAGAGUACAGUUAGGGUAAACGGAAUUCCACGUGUAGCGGUGAAAUGCGUAGAUAUGUGGAAGAACACCGGUGGUGAAGACGGUUUACUGGGCUGAGACUGACGCUGAGGCGCGAAAGCAUGGGGAGCAAACAGG